rnacentral:rRNA from 1 species
UGGGGAAUAUUGCACAAUGGGCGCAAGCCUGAUGCAGCCAUGCCGCGUGUGUGAAGAAGGCCUUCGGGUUGUAAAGCACUUUCAGCGAGGAGGAAGGUGGUGAGCUUAAUACGCUCAUCAAUUGACGUUACUCGCAGAAGAAGCACCGGCUAACUCCGUGCCAGCAGCCGCGGUAAUACGGAGGGUGCAAGCGUUAAUCGGAAUUACUGGGCGUAAAGCGCACGCAGGCGGUUUGUUAAGUCAGAUGUGAAAUCCCCGGGCUCAACCUGGGAACUGCAUUUGAAACUGGCAAGCUAGAGUCUCGUAGAGGGGGGUAGAAUUCCAGGUGUAGCGGUGAAAUGCGUAGAGAUCUGGAGGAAUACCGGUGGCGAAGGCGGCCCCCUGGACGAAGACUGACGCUCAGGUGCGAAAGCGUGGGGCAGCAAACAGGAUUAGAUACCCCUGGUAGUCCACGCUGUAAACGAUGUCGAUUUGGAGGUUGUGCCCCUUGAGGCGUGGGCUUCCGGAGCUAACGCGUUAAAGUCGACCGCCUGGGGGAGUACGGC